GAAAAAAUUAAAUAAUUAUUUUUUUUUUUUUUUAAGUAUAUUACGAUGCAAAACGCUAGUUCGUUUAUUAAAAUAAAUAAACAAAUAAAUAAAUAAAUAAUAAAUGGUCACACGGCUUAAGUUAAAGGUAAGAAAACAUCAUGCUUCCACCGUCAGCACUUAUAUACAAAAACCGCACCUGUUUUCGUUAUUUGUGCCGCUCUGGUUCUGUACUCGGGACGGCCGAGGCUCGGGAUUGGCCUGUCGCAAUUUGGGAACCACCCAUUCCUUUAUGAAACCCACAGCUCCGUUAAGCUUCCUAUUUUUGAAUAAACAAAGUAAACCAAGCCAGCCAACAAAAGGAUAAACAACAAACAAGACGGCACCAGACAAGACAAAAUUAUGACUAAGGGCACAUUUUUUAAAAAUACAAAGCGGAAUUUAAAUAUUCCUUCCCGCUACUCGAAUUCUUACCACUACCGCUAAUGUUAUUUCUAGCCACGGCAGUCGGAUCCAAGUUUCACACACACACACACACACACACAUGGUCCAUAACCACCCGUUUAGCACCAUUUCUGCUUAGCCAUUUUAAAAGACACACAGUAUUUCUCCUUGGGGCCGGCUAAAAAUUCUUCGAGCGCUACACCAAAUAACUCUGUGCCGGUCGAAAGACUAAGCUGUGGCCAAAUAGCGAAAAUAGGAUUGUUGACUGUGUGGUGACAGAAAAUUUUGCUACCCGAAAUGAAGGCGCGCCUUCGUCUAUCUACACGCAUCCUUAUGGCUGGCCUAAAACAUCGGUCGAUCAAAUACGCUAACCCGGAAGUGGAGGUCUAACGUCCCACCUUCCGACUAAGAUAUAACGACAUGGGCAGCCACUCUCCGCCGAAUAAUUGGCGCGGUAUUAUUCUAGUUGUGGAAAUACGGGAAGGACACGUAAAUAGCCAGCCCAGAAAAUAGCUUUUUUAAAAUUCUUCGGUCGGGCUAUUGUUAAACAAUGCGUAAAGCCGCCGACACCCUUACCUACGGGCUGUAGGCAGCCGCCACUUCCGGAGAAAACACCGUCCGUAUUGGUAACUACCAAAUACCUAGUGGAGUGGGCCGGAGCUAUUCUUAAAAUUUAUAGACGGUUAGUGCCACCCAUGGCCAAAGCUUCCACCUUAAUGCCGCCCGUUCAAAAAAGACGGUGGAGGUCGACUGGCCCCCAGCCCGUACCGGUUACUAUUUGUUGGGAAAUUUACUAUAGUACGGGUGGCCAGUGUGGUCUAGCGCCGUAGAUGGCCCCGGCCCCACGCUAUCGUUAAAUAAAAUACGGCCCGGGCCCGUAUCUGGGCGGAGAAUGGGCUAGCCCAGUAUGGCCGGGCCGCUCUCUCUCUCUCUCUCUAGUCUCCAGUACCAGACGUAUAAUAGAUGUUAGGACGAGCACCGGGUCGGGCGAAUUUAAAAGUAUUUCGGGAAGGCCAAUGACGGUCUUUACGGGAGCCUGCCGUAUUUAACCGACCGGCUAAUACGGCCAAACACUUAGGCUACGGUAUAUAGCCGAGUUUUUCCAACAUUUUUGGCCGACUGACCGUUCCCAAUUGGGCAAAGGCUCCGCCUAACCUAGGCCAGCGUGGGUAAAAAGCCGGGGUGACUUAAUAAGACCUUAGCUAUAAGGAAGAAUCAUCUAGGACAUUCUAAAUGGUAACAAGAAUGGCCUCUCAGCCAUACUGUCUUUGUUUCGCCAUUUUCCAAAGCGUUAUUUUACUUCAGAGAUUUUCGUUGGUUCGGCAGUCGGAAAUCC
rnacentral:lncRNA from 1 species